UGAGACCAGGAGAUGGAGGCUGCAGUGAGCUAUGGUUGUGCCACUGCACUCCAGCCUGGGAGAUGAGCUAGCCCCUGUCUCAAAACACAAAAACUUAAAAUAAAAUACACAGAGAAUCUCAAGGUGGUGCGGACAGUUCUGAGUGUUGGGAGAGAACAAAAGGAGGAAAGUGCAUUUUGGGUGGCAGAAAGCCCCUCCCAGUACCGUGGGCCCCUGCUUUGAAGCAAUCCUCACAGAAAUUGAGCAUGAGUGAUGUUGGGCCCAUGACACUGGUUCCCUGGGUGGAUGCAGCCUGAGCCAGCCCGCCCUGGCUGGAGCUCUCACCACCCUGCCUGGCCCGUGCUCAUGGGCUCACGAUGGCUUCAGCUAGAGCUCAUGUCAGCACGGCUUUCCCAGAGGGCUCAUUUGCACUUGGAUGCCCUCACCUGUUCUCCCCCUGUGGCUUCAGGAACCCCGGGGUCAUUACAGAGCUCGCUAAAUUCAUCCCUGGAUGUGAGACCUGUGUCGUAGGCAUCCAGGACUGUCCCAAGAUGGGAGAGGCAUCCAGUCAUGUUAAUUGAAGCGAAGGCUUCUAUUUACUUCCAGAUACACACUGUUAACCUUCCUAGGGCCCCCUUUUGACCUUUCUUCCACAAAGCAUUUUACCUACCGCUAAUAGCCCCAGUGCAGACCCCAAAGUUCCCCUGUAGGAUUCAUUUCCCGUGAUUUGAGGCCAGCCUGAGGCAAAGCUUUCUGCUGGGUUGAUCCUCACUCAGACUCAAACUGCAGAGGGCCAGGAGGAGCCCUGCUUUUUGCAAUCAAUACCACCUGGGGUAGGACCCAAACGUGACAUCCUUUGUGUGUGGAUCUGGCCUUGGCCUCCACACCGUCUGUUCAGCAGGUCCCUCCUUUGCCUGCCAAGGCUGAGGUCCUGUACUUUGCAAAGGUCCAGGCCGUUUGGUGCAGCUACAAUCAGGGUGCGUGGUUUUCUCUAUGAAAGCAAACAGCAGUCUCGUGGGGAAGGCCCCGGCAGAAAGUGCAUCAUGCAGGACACGGCACAGGCGUUCCAAAGACGCCUCCUGCUCACUUCUGGCCUCCACCCCAUGCCCUGCAGGAUGACAGAUGGCUGUGCCUAUACAUAAAACACCAGACGUGACCAGUAACUAUCUUAUAAUAAAUAUACUUGAACUUCUCAACUAGAAGACAGAAUGCUUUCGGGAAGUACAGCGCGUACCACCAUGUGUGGUCCUGUGCACAGCGGCGGGAGCCUCCGCCCCAUGAGCCAGCGUGGUGGGGGAGAGACCCUGAGUCUCCAGAACCCAACGGAACGUGGGUCUGCAGUGACGACGCAAAAACCGAAGACGAGCAAUAAAAUAAUAAUCCGAAGAGGAAAGAGACAAUGUGAAGAAAGCCGCCUUUGUUCUAGGAAGUCUUUUUUUCCCUUUUCACAGUAUAGUGACUCGUUUAUAAAGAGGAAGUGAGUUCGGUUGAAAAAUACUUGAAAUAUUCUCUUAGGGGGAGAAAGCAGUUCUUCACCAGCUUGGUGGGCCGCUUGGCCGCGAGCUUCGAGCUCUGCCUGUUCUGUGUCAGCAGGGACAAUUCUUCUUCCGAAACCAGAGCCCACUGCCUGCUGCUGAGAGGAGGGGAGGGAAGGCUAUGAGCAAGCGCAGCGCCCACCAGGCGGGCGCGGAGAUGGGGCUGGGAAGGAAUCGCUUUGAGGGGAUGAGGGGAGCAGCCUGCCUCUCAGUUGUCCCAGGCGCCUAAGAUGCCCUGGAACCCCCACCCGAUUCUGGGAGUUUUUCUCACGGAGGUGUACUGAGCAGCAGGAGACCAGACAGCUCCCCCGCCUCUGGCCUCCCCCCGGCAGGGGGCUGGUCCCCUGGGAAACAGGCUGGGGGUGACUGUCACCAUCCUGGGCAGCAUCCCCGCAGAGGAAAGGACAGGACGCCAGGCAAAAGUUAGCCAAACCCUUGCAGAGUCAGCAACCAUUCCCAGGGAAUUGUACCACAAAGGCUGUCCCCUGGGUUCCUGGGGCUACCUGUGCCGGAAGCCUGAGCCCUGAGCGCAGGAGGGCAGGUGGGGAGGGCAAAGGUCCUCUGCCAGCCUGCUGUGUGAGGAGCCCUUGGGGAAGAUGGGCUUUGCAGACUUGGCACCAACACCCCCUCUCGUGCUCCCAGCCACCCCACUGGAGGCCAGGAACAUUUCUCAGUUUAUUUCGGGGUGAAGGCUGCGAGUGAAGUGCCAGUGUCCCCCUCCUCCUCGGGCACCCUCCCUAGGGCAGUGGGGACUGUCCUUAACCAUCCUGGGGGUAAUGGUGGCCACCUGUGCAAAAUGAUUUCUCUUUCAGUGAGUGGGUGUCUCACGUCACUGUUGAGACACCCGGGAGCCUCAGAGGGAAACCUGUGGGAAGGAGCUGCCAGCCUCUUUCCGGGAACCAGGUGACCCCAGGAUCACGGCUCAGGUGCAUCCAGCCCUGGAAACCCUGUGAGGAGCUCUGUGGGGCCUCGCUCAGAAAGGGGGCCUAGGAAGAAGCAGCUGCCAGCCCAUGGCCCAAGCCUGCAGGCGCCACAGCUGCUGCGUGGACGCACGGAGCCUCCGGGAGCCAAGGAGCCUCCGGGAACAGGCAGCAGGGGAGGCCAGGCCAGCAGGACCUGCGGGCGCCACGCCUUGGCAGGUGCCAGGCAACAGGAUUGUGCCAUGGCGGUGACAUGGGAGAAUGCGGGAACCUGAGAGGUGAGAGGGAAUAAGUUUCCAGAACUCACUCUCAGACAGGAGGAGACAUGACUCAGCUGAGCCAGAAAGCGCUCGUUCCACACGAAGGCACGUAUGAGUGAGGCACGCCAGAAAAAGCUGAUUAUUUUAAACCGACAGAACAGACUCUGUGGCAAUAAGAUAUCAAAUUACACACAGGACCUCAGACCACGCCAGGCAAGGGUCAGCCUUGUACCCUACACUGAGAGAACGGAUUCUGCCCUCACGCCACAGCUGCUUUUUCUCCAGCAGCUAAACACACACUGGCCCAGCAAUGAGCAAGAUUCAAAUGACUGCAGCUCAUCCACCCACAGACGCAAACUGACCACGUUCCACAGCCAUGACCACAGCUCUGAUUGGGCAGAAGUCUGACUUCAGGAACCCCCUCCUGGUAAGGGACCCCCGACCGUGGACCGGCUCCGGCCGGUUUGCAGAGGCUCCGCCUUGAGUGCCUUUGUGUUCUGAGAAGACCUCUGAGGUUUAGGGCCUCAUUGCGACACACUGACGUGUUAAGACUCUACCCCAGAGUGAACACAGGUCGUAUGUUACAUGCACGUUUGUUCAGUACGCAUGCAGCAGGACCCCCUUCAUGAAUAACCUGCCGCACAGGUUUAGCCAACCCAGUCAGCACGGAGCUCCUGCCCCAGCCAUCCCUCCCCUUCGAAGUGCCUCCUCCUGGCUCCUCUGGUCUUGGCAGAGGCCGUGCUUCCCAGCCUGGGGGACAGGGCCUUGCAGGCUGUGUCCCUUUACAGAAGCAAAGUCUCCUGUUCUAAAAGCACAGAUCUGGUGAUUUUCAGCUCAUGGCAUUUGCUCCCCUUCCCAAUGGCUGGGUUUGCAUUCCAGCCACUCCAUGAGAUUCUAGCACCAAGGGAACCUCGACCCCGCCUGGACCCCCAGCGAAGGCUCCAGCCCACAAGUGCUGCCCACUCAGUGGGUGGGGCCCCCGCUGGCUGUGGCCCCUCCGUGGAACCUGAGAGCACGAGUACCAGAUUGUCCACGAACAUCCAGAAGAAGGGCCUGGGGCUGCCCGGCCCGGGCCGCGCGUACUGCAGGAGCCGGUGGAACUGGAACAGGCAGGCCCUGAGUUGGGAAGAGACAGACAGGCAACCCUGAGGGAGGCGCGGACGCAGAGCGCGUGCCGUGGCACAAAUACCGCCUUUUAGAGGAAGCUCCAGAGGAUACGACAGACGGGCAUGGGCACCGAGAGGCAGCAGCAGUGGGCAAGGCCGCAUACAACAGCACGAGAUGUCCCCAGGGCCGACCCUGCUCAGCUCGCAGGGCCCACAGGCCAGGGCAAGCCGAGGAGUAGAGCCCACUAGGGCAGAGCCAUCCCCAGCCACCACCAGCCUCAGGGGCUGUCUGCCUGGAGCCCAGAGGAGAAUGCUCCGAAUGUGAGGUGAAGACUCUGUGCCACGCGUUUGGGGGCUGAACUCUGCCUUUAUCUUUUCUUGCUCAAAUUCCUUUCUAAGGAGCGUGGGGGAAUCACGGCUUACCAACCACAAAAGCUUGUGGAAUGGGUGUUUUGAGCCGGUAUAUUAUGGCUCUGCCAUGGCGUCACAUGACAGACAGCAGACCUUAUUUUAACUCAAGCAUUCCUUUCUACUGACUCCGAGUUUUUAGGCAAAGCUUAACUCAUCCAACUGCCAACUAAAGAAUCCCUAAUGUAAGCUUCAAGAUAUGCCGCCUUUUGGGGCUGAACCAAUGCACACCUAUGUAUUGAUUGGAUUGAUUGAUUGAAUUUUUUGAGAUGGGGUCUCACUCUGUCGCCCAGGCUGGAGUGCACUGGCGAGAUCUCAGCUCACUGCGACCUCCACCUCCUGGGCUCAAGCAAUCCUCCGGCCUCAGCCCCCCGAGUAGCUGGGACCACAGGUGGUCUUGAACUCCUGAGCUCAAAGUGCUGGGAUUACAGGCGUGAGCCACCGUGCCUGGCCCGUGUACUGAUUUCUGAUUCUACCUGCGGUUCCCAUCUCCCUGAAAUGUAUAAAACCAAAACUGUUACUGACCGCCUCAGGUGCACUUCCUCAGGACCUCUUAAGACUGUGUUUCCCAGGCCAUGGUCCCUCUUACUGGCUCAGAAUAAACCUAUUUAAAUACUUUGG